UACGGAGGGUGCAAGCGUUGUCCGGAUUUAUUGGGUUUAAAGGGUGCGUAGGCGGUCUUUUAAGUCAGUGGUGAAAUCCUCCAGCUCAACUGGAGAACUGCCAUUGAUACUGGGUGUCUUGAGUGUGGAAGAGGUGAGUGGAAUUCCGAGUGUAGAGGUGAAAUUCGUAGAUAUUCGGAGGAACACCAGUGGCGAAGGCGGCUCACUGGUCCAUUACUGACGCUGAGGUACGAAAGCGUGGGGAGCAAACGGG
rnacentral:rRNA from 1 species